CUUUACUGCCACUACUUCCAUAUCCAAAACUCAAUAGAUAUAUCACGAGACACACCUUCCUUUUGAAACCUAUGAAACCAUGUUUGAAAAUAUCGCCAUUUCCACUUCAUCAUCUAGUUACUGUAUUUUCUUCAAUUCGAUAUUUUGUCGAGUCUUUUUGUUGUUCUAGAGAUGGUUAUUGGUAAUUUUGUAGGAGGAGAAGAUGCGGAAGUAAAUAAAGAUGGAAAGAAGAAAUUCAUCACUAAAGAACAAGAACCAUAACAGUAUUGGCAAACAGUAUGGGAAAGGGAAGGGGAGAAUCUAAUGAUGAACAACAUUGAAAUUAGAGAGAUGGAAAUAGGAAUAGAGUUGAAUCGAUUACCUAAUGCGUGCGUGAUGCGUUUGCAUGCGAUAAUAGAAGCAAAUAGGAGCCUGCGAUCGAAAGGAAGUAUUAACAGGGAAGCUACAACAACAUGAGAUAGGGAUAGGGAAGCUACGAUCUUAAAGCUCCUAUGAACAUGAUUGUUGUAUUGAAAUUUACAAGUGAGGGCAAUGUUGUCUAUUUAAAAUGGGUUUUUAAUUAUAA